CCCGAACCGCGCCGGCCACUGGGACUGGCGGACGCGCUCUGAGGUUAACUGGGGCACCGCCUUGUUGUCACCGUCGCAGGAGGCCGCCUGCGCUCUCGCUGAUCUAGUGAGGCUGGCGGAAGCCCUUCGGAGGCUCCCAGGAACCUCCUCGCUCGAAUCCGCAUUCAGAUUCCCGAAAUAGCUGUCCGGCUGACCCCGGCGUCCAACUCCCAAACGCCGAGAGGAGAUCCCAAUUUAGGAGAGGAGAGGAGCAGGAAUAACCCAUAUGUGACAGGCUGCUUUAUGGCAACCUCUACUUUUGUUCUGUAUUUCAAGGACGGAUUCAGUUUUUCCAAACAUGUUCAAUUCCAAAAUCCUUGGAGGCCUAGGACCUUGCAGAAACUCAUUUCCCAAUGCAACCUCUUUACAGCAUUGGCAACUGCUGUGCACUAGCUCAUCAAUUGAAUCAUACGCUGAGUAAAAGGACAAAGAGCCAGAAAUGCUCUCUAAUAGAUUUUCUCUUGGAGAAUAGAGUUGAAGUCCUUCCCUUCCAUGAAAACUUGAAGAAUGAAGUACUAAGCAACUUCUAAUAUAUUUAAACAUUUGAAAGCAAGAGUUGUAAAUGUAGCUUAGUGACACAGUGUUUGUCUAGAAAGCAUGAGGCCCUGGGUUCAGUCUUCAGCACUGUCAAAAUAAAAUAAA